rnacentral:lncRNA from 1 species
CGUAGACUGACCUCGCUUCCUCAGCAUUAUGGCAAACACGGCAUCUGUCGCCUGUGAAAGAUUCUGGCCAGCAGUGUUUAACCUGGUGAUUCAGAUCUCUACACCUAGCUGCUGGUUUACAGAAAAUAGAUUAACAAGAUAAGAAACACCAUGAAGAAACAGUGGCUCAAAUUCACCAUAUGGGACUGUCUACAACACAACUGUUAGAGACUUUAAAAAGUCAGUAUGAUGGUGGGCAAUGGAAACUGGGUGGACUGUUUUAGACUAAGACAAAAGACAUAACAAGUAACUGAAAUACGUAAUCCUAGAUUGAAUUCUUGUUCCAAAAAAUCAUUUUAAAGCCAGAAAAGACAUCUUUGAGGGCAAUUGGGGAGAUUUUAAUAUGGUCUGGAUAUUAGAUGUUGUAGAAGUAUUGUUAGCUUUCCUAGGUGUGAUAAUGGUAUUGUGUCAUGUAGAAGGAUGUUUUUGUCAUUGGGAGCUGCUUGCUAAAGGGUGUCCAAGAAUGUAAGAGAGAGGGCGAGAGAAGCAAAAAUAUGGCAAAAAUCAACUGAAGCAGGAGGAAGGUGGUGGGUACUCAUAGUAGUAUUCUUUCAACUUUUCUCCAUUUGAAAAUGUUUAUCAUGUAAACUAAAAAUAAAAUCCUGAGGUCUCCGCAAUGUAUUGACUGAGCGGACCCCCCUCUUGGCUAAGGGGAUCCCCCAAAACCUUGAAAAACUGAGUUCCCAGCCAUAAUGGGACAGGAGGUCAGACAUGCUUCAUUCCACCCCUGCCUUUUUGCGGUUUAGACACAAUAAAUGACCAGCAUUAAUGUUAAACUAGCAAUCACAAGGCCAGGUGCGGUGGCUACGCCUGUAAUCCCAGUGGUUUUGGAGGCCAAUCACUUGAGGUCAGGAUUUUGAGACCAGCCUGGCCAACAUGGUGAAACCCCAUGUCUACUAAAAAUACAAAAAUCAGCUGGGCGUAGUGGCACACGCCUGUAGUCCCAGCUAGCUACUCAGGAGGCUGAGGCAGGAG